rnacentral:rRNA from 1 species
GACGAACGCUGGCGGCGUGCUUAACACAUGCAAGUCGAGCGGUAAGGCCCUUUCGGGGGUACACGAGCGGCGAACGGGUGAGUAACACGUGGGUGACCUGCCCUCAGCUCUGGGAUAAGCCUGGGAAACCGGGUCUAAUACUGGAUAUGACUCCAUGACGCAUGUUGUGGGGUGGAAAGCCUUGUGCGGCUGAGGAUGGGCCCGCGGCCUAUCAGCUUGUUGGUGGGGUGAUGGCCUACCAAGGCGACGACGGGUAGCCGGCCUGAGAGGGCGACCGGCCACACUGGGACUGAGACACGGCCCAGACUCCUACGGGAGGCAGCAGUGGGGAAUCUUGCGCAAUGGGCGAAAGCCUGACGCAGCGACGCCGCGUGAGGGAUGACGGCCU